rnacentral:piRNA from 1 species
UGGCACUUAUUUUAUUCUUCAAUGUCCCU